CCUACGGGAGGCAGCAGUGAGGAAUAUUGGUCAAUGGACGAGAGUCUGAACCAGCCAAGUAGCGUGAAGGAUGACUGCCCUAUGGGUUGUAAACUUCUUUUAUAUGGGAAUAAAACAGGGUAUGCAUACCCUCUUGUAUGUACCAUAUGAAUAAGGAUCGGCUAACUCCGUGCCAGCAGCCGCGGUAAUACGGAGGAUCCGAGCGUUAUCCGGAUUUAUUGGGUUUAAAGGGAGCGUAGGUGGAUUGUUAAGUCAGUUGUGAAAGUUUGCGGCUCAACCGUAAAAUUGCAGUUGAAACUGGCAGUCUAGAGUACAGUAGAGGUAAGCGGAAUUCGUGGUGUAGCGGUGAAAUGCGUAGAUAUCAGGAAGAACACCGAUGGCGAAGGCAGCUCACUGGACUGCAACUGACACUGAUGCUCGAAAGUGUGGGGAGCAAACAGGAUUAGAUACCCGUGUAGUC
rnacentral:rRNA from 1 species